GCGACAAUUCUGCUGUUUAGACCCUGACAUUAGAGUUGGUAGUACUGACAAAUAUGUCGGCCUCUGGGAAUCUCUUGGCCACCAAUAUUAUGGGUUUAAAAUAGAAGAUCACAUACUUGUUUGGGUAUUAUAUUCACUUGUUUUUAUUCUCCUUAACUUCCGUAUUGGUGGAGCGGCCUGCAAGACAGAUACUAGCUAUUUCAAAGAAGUAAAAAACAAGCAUCUUCCACCUCUAGCUAACAGUUAACGUUAGUCCAGCUAGCUGCGUGUAGUAGAAUAACGGCAGACGUAUCCGUGUCUGGCAAACCAGCCUAACGUUAACGUUUUCUGUAGCUUGGUGCCGGGGUAGCUAGUUUGCACAGCAAGACUCGUACUGCUUUUUGGCACCGCUGAAUGAGUUGUAUGGAUACUAAUGGACGUAACGUUAAGGAGUUGUCUCAGCUGAUAAUUAUCCCAGGAGGAAAUAACACGACCAGGACCGGCACAUCCCAUUCACCGUUUUUGGACCCAGAAGAAGUGUAAACCCCUCACAGGUGCAUCUUGACCAACCAUCAGAUUGGAUUCUCUUCUUUUCUUGACCCAGGACGAGCUGCUGAGGUUGAUAUCCACUACAGCCAGCUACUGUGUGUUAUCCAUGUCUACGAAGCUCUCCUAAUGAACAAUCCAGGAGGCCGCUGAUCACCACCGAAUCCUGCUUUCAAGGUUGGAGAAGAAUACUUCAAACCUAGGAAUCUCUGGCUUCCACACAUAAAAGCCACCGUUUUUUAAGAUUUUUGUUGAGGUCAUUUUUCGGACGUUGCUCCGGGGAGAGGCUGUGUCCUCCAAAGGAUUGCCGUGGGAGGGUUUUAUCCAAGCCUCAGAGCUCUCCCCUGGGGAAGGAAGCAGAGGAAAGGCCCUGGAAGUUCCUGGAGAAGAGGCCAUACUUGAAAACCGCCCGUAGCUGGAAGUCAGACGGUUACAUAACUAACAGGCACGGUCGUCCACUAACACAGUGGAACCGGGGGAGGAACGGAGUUGUUCUAUGUUGCCAUUGCUGGCUGAUGUAUGAGAUAAUACUGCUGUCUAUUCACACAUAACCCCUGGCGCUUCAAAUUGAUACUGUAAUUUUAGCUCUAUUUCAAACAUUUAAUUUACAUGGAUACCAAUGGAUGUUCUACUGGAUUUCCCCCCAGAUGUUUUGGAAAGAACCACACCACCACCUGCUGCUUUUUGUCUUCCAAUCACAUCCCUGGUGCAGCCAGCAGGUGAGGUGGUUUGAAUCAGCCACCAGCAGGGUUUAGGGAUGCCCCGACACAGGAAAACCAGGCUACUCUACUGGCCCGUUUACAGACUGCUGUUUCUAAUAAGAGUCCUGGACUGAAAGGAAAUUGUCUCCUCCUCUAACGGAGAGCAAGGGCUCGGCACUUUUUAAUUUGCAAAACCUUUUCACACAUUGCUACAGCUGCCCCAACUGCUUAUCUCUCGGUGCUAAAAACUUUCAAUUGACGUGAUCUCCACACUUUUUGCUUGCGUAGACUUAGCAACAAACACGCCCAUUUCCCAUUUUAGGUCUUGCCUUUUUUUUCUUUUCAAGCUUUCCGCUCCAUUUUCUUUCAGCCUCUUGUAAGUUCAUCUCCUACCGCCUACCUCUGCCAACUCUUGUACCUCACCAAGCUCCCAUCUACAGACCGGUCAAAUCAAACUGGACGAGUUCACAUCAGGCACAAGGUUCAUCAAUUCAGCUUAGGUUCUCUGUUUGUCAGGACAAAAUCAUCUAACAAGUGUUUUAAUGGAAGGGCCCAAAUGGUGUUUUUAUAUCUCAAUAACAGCCAUGUUUUGUUAAUUGCACUAUCAUGUUUUUCACUGAGCCUUCAUUCACCUUGUUAUACAUAAAGCAGAUGUGCUGUUUUGAGGCUGACUUUACUCGUGUGGAAACAGACCAGUAAGGUUUCUAUUGGCUUGUGUUGGUAGUUGAUUGACAUGUUGGGGAGAACAGAGUGAAACUAGUGUUGUGUAUUUACCUGCAACUCUAUAAGAGAACUCUGUCCACACACUUCCUCCUCUUAACAAUCUGUGGCUUAUUUGUUCAUCCCGCCUUCCCACCUGUUGUCAGGCAGACAUGAAAAAAAGGCUUUUACAGCAGAGCGAUUUAUUUUAAUCUCACACACACACACACACACACACACACAGUAGAUCAGGAUUGACCUAAUAACCUAAAACGACAAGUGAUCACUACUGAAGUGUUUUCCACGUGAAAGAGGAAGCCCCCCCCCCCCCCCCACACUUAUCCCUCCAUCUCUUUUAUAUCUGUCCUUUUACAUAAUUUUUUUUUUUUUGUUGCCAAUCCAUCAUUUCUACCCCCAAACUACAAAUCCCCACAACCCACCAGACCAAAAGAAACAUUUUAACCCUGACUUCUAAAUUCCACGGCAUAGCAGUUGUUGAACAGCCACACACACCACUACACUAAGAAAGUGAUGCCAGGUGUCGGCAGCAAGAGUGGAGGGCGGGGUCCGUCCUUGUCACCCCUCCCCCAUACCGCGGUCCCGCCCACCAGACCCCUGAGACCCUCCCGCUACGUCCCGGUGUCGGCAGCCACUUUCUUCCUCGUUGGCUCCACCACGCUCUUUUUCUGCUUCACGUGUCCGUGGCUCUCGGAGCGUUUCUCAGUAGCUGUGCCCAUCUACAAUGGAGUCAUCUUCCUGUUUGUUCUGGCUAACUUCUGCAUGGCCACGUUCAUGGACCCCGGCAUCUUCCCGAGAGGUGAGUC